rnacentral:rRNA from 1 species
GACGAACCGUCCGAACGUUAUUCGGAAUCACUGGGCUUACAGAGUUCGUAGGCGGUCCAGCAAGUUGGGUGUGAAAUCCCUCGGCUCAACCGAGGAACUGCGCUUGAUACUGCUGGACUCGAGGGAGAUAGAGGAGUGCGGAACUGAUGGUGGAGCGGUGAAAUGCGUUGAUAUCAUCAGGAACACCGGUGGCGAAGGCGGCACUCUGGGUCUCUCCUGACGCUGAGGAACGAAAGCUAGGGUAGCGAACGGG